GUGUGGGGGGUGGGUGGUGGGAGGAGGAGGGUCUGGUGUUGGUGAGGAAUAAGGCUAUGAAAAGAUAACAUAAGCUUAAAGAACUCAAAUAUGCAUUGUUCACCAUCUAGUGUCCAAGAAAACAGAAAAUAUUUAUAAUCUCAUAAUUCACCACCCAAGAAACCUCAUACAAAAACAGCCAAAAAAGAUAACCCAAGACACCAAACAUGAUCUAGUUUACCCUUUUACUUUUCCUUUGUUUACCUUUAAUUUAUCAGAAACCAAACCGCCAAAUCACAUUAAACCGAAAAAGAAAACCAGAGAAGAAUAAGAAGACGAAGAAGAAGAAG
rnacentral:misc_RNA from 1 species